rnacentral:misc_RNA from 1 species
UCUCCGUAGGUGAACCUGCGGAAGGAUCAUUAUCGUACAACAUGUGAGGGGCAUGCGAGGGCUGUCGCUGUCCCUAGAGUCGUGCACGCGUGAGUGUGUCCUGUUGCAUAAUAAUCCGUCUCACCCUUGGUGCAUCACCGCGUGGGCACCCUUCGGGGUCAUCUCGGAGGGGCGCACGCGUUUACACAAAAACUCCCCUUUUAAAAGUGCAGAAUGACCACAUCUAUGCAAUAAAUACAACUUUCAACAACGGAACUCAUGACCCUCGCAUCUAUGAAG